GUGGGCCGGCCGUAGCGCAGGCCGCGGGAAGGGGCAGGGGCGCCCAGACCCGGAGCGGAAAGCAGCGCCGGGGAGCGGGCUCGCAGACGGGCGCUGGGCAGGGUGCAGGCGCGCGGGGACCAGACGGAGGAGCCAGGCUGCCAGAGAAGAUGGUGGAUUACCUGGCCAACACGGAGAUCAACAGCCAGCGCAUCGCCGCGGUCGAGAGCUGCUUCGGGGCAUCCGGGCAGCCCCUGGCCCUGCCAGGCCGGGUGCUGCUGGGCGAGGGCGUGCUGACCAAGGAGUGCCGCAAGAAGGCCAAACCGCGCAUCUUCUUCCUCUUCAAUGACAUCCUGGUGUACGGCAGCAUUGUGCUCAACAAGCGCAAGUACCGCAGCCAGCACAUCAUUCCGCUGGAGGAGGUGACGCUGGAGCCGCUGCCCGAGACCCUGCAGGCCAAGAACCGCUGGAUGAUCAAGACGGCCAAGAAGUCCUUCGUGGUGUCGGCCGCCUCCACCACGGAGCGCCAGGAGUGGAUCAGCCACAUCGAGGAGUGCGUGCGGCGGCAGCUGCUGGCCACGGGCCGCCAGCCCAGCACGGAGCACGCGGCGCCCUGGAUCCCCGACAAGGCCACGGACAUCUGCAUGCGCUGCACGCAGACGCGCUUCUCGGCCCUCACGCGGCGCCACCACUGCCGCAAGUGUGGCUUCGUGGUCUGUGCCGAGUGCUCCCGAGAGCGCUUCCUCCUGCCGCGCCUGUCGCCCAAGCCCCUGCGCGUCUGCAGCCUCUGCUACCGCGAGCUGGCCGCCCAGAAGCGGAAGGAGGAGGAGGAGGAGGAGGAGCAGAGCGUGGGGUCCCCCCGGCAGCCGGCCUACCUGGCCGGGGCCAUCUGCGGAGCAUCCAGCGGGGACGAUGAUGACUCUGACGAGGACAAGGAGGGCAGUGGGGACGGCGACUGGCCCAGCCGCGUGGAGUUCUACGCCUCCGGCGUCUCCUGGUCGUCCUUCCACAGCUGACCCGAAUCUGCAGCUGUGCGGGAGGGCCUCCCGGGUCCCUUCUGCAUCCAGUCAGACUCCAUUGCCCGUGCUCCUGAGAGAACAGAGUUCCCAGACUGCCCAGCAGCCCCCGGGACCCUGCCCCGUGGGUGGCAGGCGCAGUGGGAAUGGCUCUUUCUCUCUCGGCCCCCAGUGCCUUUGGGCUGGACGUUGGCAGCCUUCUGCUCCACUUCAGAAAUGUGGCUCACAUUUGUGGCUUGUGUUAGAUUCUGUUGGUGAGACACUAGAGAGAAGACCCCACAUCCAAAAUGGUUCCCGGCAUGGCUGACCUUCCUGCCAGAGUCCGUGGGUACAAGUGCCACGUGCAUGGGGUGGAGCUCAAGGAGUUCAUGUUACAGUGGGGCCAUGCCUCUGAGGAGGUAGGGCUCCCGGAGCAUGCUCGUGAAGACUCAGCCUCGAGUCCAGCCCAGGAGGCAGCCCCAGGGAGCUGGGGACCAGGCUGGUCCUUGUGUGGUUUAGGGACAGGUAAAGCACUCACACUUCGUAACACUAGAACGCCUCGGGGCACAAGAUGCCCACAACGCAGGGCCUCUUGUCUGCUGCACACUGCUUCUUCUGAACCAUGCCUUCACCGCUUUGGAAGCCUGGAGGGUCACCAGCACCUGUUAGAAUUUGUCUUUUUCUUUAUUCCCCCCCAAGCAUGGAAGGGUGAAACGGCUGUAAGGUAAACAAUGUGUAUGGAGAAGUUCUACCGAAUUUCAUAUACCCAUCCCCAUUUACUACUUAUUAAAAUUGGCUAUUAGUAUUCCAUUAUAUUGCCCACAUAUGCAGUUUGACUAUGUCCCUGUUGCUCAGCACUGGGGCUGGUUCCCUUUUCUCCUGCUGCCAUAAACAGCAGUGCUAUGAAUAUCUUUAUCCUUUUUCCAUUUGAAUUAUUUUAUUGUAAUGUUUUCCCUGAAGUGAAAUUUGUUGGCUGGAAAGUGUAUACAAUUUUAUGGUUCCUGUGACUUUUUUUCUUCAAAUCACUCUCCCAAAAGACUGUAUCACCAAGUAUUUUCUCCAGCACUCUGUGUAUGUGUGUGUGUGUGUGUGUGUGUGUGUGUGUGUGUGUGUGUGUCUUCCUGCAUCCCUGCCAGUUCUGGGUUUGAUCAUUUGUAUUUAUUGUUACCAAUUAAUUGUUAUGUAACAGAAGCUAUUAUCCUGGCAUUUGCUUUGCAAAUGAGAAUGAGUGAAGUCCUUCCCUUAAAACUCAUACAAAUUAAGUAAGUAGCCAUCACCUCUGGCUCCUUCUGUGUGCCAGCACUUGGGAUACCCACAGCUGCCCUGAGGCUACAAUCCAGCUGGCCGGCUCGAGCUUCACCUCCUGACCCACUGUUAUCAAAUAGUCCAAGAAGCCUCCUCCGGUUAAUAAAGCCAUUUACCUCCUCCCAACAAACUGAAAACGCAUCAGUCAGCCCCCUUUCCCUGUGUGGUUUAGAUGAAUCCUGGCAUUUCUUAAUUGCCAUAUGUUGAUUGUUCAGGAUUGAGACACAUUCUGGUUUCUAUGCAAAAAGAUUGCAGGAGAUAUGGCUGAUGUUCUGUUCAUGGCUUAUUAAAACCUCAGGAAGACCCUAGCCGCCCUCCCAAGGGGAACUCAAUAACAGGCAUCCUGGUGGAGCCACGUCCUGGCCGGUCAGGUAACCCAAGAAGGCUGGGAGGGAAACUGACAGAGGAUGUGCAUACUUGACCACUAGAUGGCACCUCUCAAUAACUAAUGGGGAGAGAAUUGCUUCCUUCCAAACCUCCAGCCCCAUUCCUGACAGCCUCCCCACCAUGCAUUGCAACACACCCCAGUCGUGUUUACUUCCAAGCCAGACAUCUCAAAAAAAUAAAUAAAUAAAAUAAAAAAACAGAAAAAUAAAAAAGUUCAUUCUAGCUAAAAAUACACCAUCUGCCUGUGAAAAAUCUUGCCCGGCGCUGUCAUGUCAACACCCAAAGCAGGUUAAUAACCGGCCCAGAACAGAUGGUUUCUUUUUAUAAUUACUGGGUCCCCCCCACCACCAGCAAGGCUUCUUCCUCAGCUGCCUCCUUACCCUGCUGGCAGCCCCCUAGUGUUUCCUGGCCACCCCGCUGCCACCGCCCAGCCAGCUACUGCCCUGCCAGCCCCAGGGGGCCAGCCCAUUGCCAGCCCUCUGCUCAGGCCGUAGGACCCGGGGGCUUCAACACCACCUGGGAAGACGGCCACCAGGAGAUCACCCCAGCCUUGUCAACCCCACUAUCAAAGAAAAACUAAUCAAGCCAAGAUGUCAGUAAUCACUCAACAAAUAAAGUUUAAGACACUUAUCAUCCUAUUUCUGGGUGAGGAUACAGUGAGAUGUGCACCCCCAAACCCUGUUGUGGGGAAAGCAGAUUAUUAACACUAUCUAGAAAGAAUUUUGACAGGAUAUAACAGCUUUAAAGAAUAUUGCAUACUGGGGUGCCUGGGUGGUUCAGUCUGUUGAGUGUCUGACUUUGGCUCAGGUCAUGAUAUCACGGUCCACGAGUUCAAGCCCCGCGUCAGGCUGUGUGCUGACAGCUCAGGGCCUGGAGCCUGCUUCGGAUUCUGUGUCUCCCUCUCUCUCUGCCCCUCCCCUGCUAGUACUCUGUCUCCGUCUCUCUGUCUCAAAAAUAAAUAAAAUGUAAAAUGUAAAAAAAUA